CAAAAAACAAACGGAGCUCCGAAUAGAACCUUACAUAUAUAUACCCGAAGUCGGCUUCAAUUCAACGCAUUGAAAGUUGAAACAUGAACAAAAUUUAUUGAAGAUCCAUUUAGAAAGUAAGAAUUCUGGAAAACCCAAGAAGAGAUUUAAGGGUUUUUAAUGAAGGUUUGAAGAUACAAAUCAUUAAAUUAAGAAGAAAUGGCACAGGCGAGUAAAGAGCCCUGUAAGAAACAGGCUUGCGAUAUUCAGGCUUGUCUUUCCAAGAACAAUUUCCUUCCUCAAAGGUGUGUAAAAGUGAUCGAAGCAUUGAAAUAUUGUUGUGAGCAAUGUGAAUACAAGUCAACACAUUGUGCUUCUCUGUCUGGGCUGCUAAAGCAAAUACAGAAAAAAUAGAGUUCAAGAAAUGACUUCAGACCUCAGAUAAUACAAUAUCCUGGUUGUUCUCCGUAGCAAAGGGAGCCAAAGUGAGGUCCUCCUCAGAAGAUCUCAGAGCCAAAUAUCUUGUUACUUUAUGGACGUUCUUAGUGCAAUCAAGAAAGCUGGAUCACUGCUCAGUUUUAGAAGUUGAGCAUGACAUUUGUGGAAUUAUUUUAGUUUUAUGUCAUAGGUACCAUAGCGUAUUGAACCUCAGAAGACAGCGGCAUACUUAAUUUCAUUAGCAAAUAAAUAGUAGUGAUGAUGGCCGUGGCGUACUGGAACUUGUAGAUUGAACGCAUUCUCUCAUUUUGACCAGCUUGUAUUGAUGAACAGAGCAAGAUUUUCUCAUUCGGCAUCAUAUACUAUUUCAGAAUUUGAAUGUUUGAAA